GAUUAUACCUAAUGGUUUGAUUGAUGCUGAUUUUUUACUGUAUUACCUUGUUUUGAUCGAAUCUAAGUGAAUAUUCACUUGAGGGUAGCCCAAUCUGACUACAUGUAGAUAUAGUUUUUGUGGAACUUAAUGAGCGGAGAUGGUUUAAUGGGAGCUAUUAAUUGGGGUUCAGGAUGCAAUCUAUAAUGUUGGAAUCAUUAGUGGUUGAUGGACCGGAUGGCUGCUCUUGAUCGAUCAUACAUGAUCAACAACGUUUCCUUGGCAUACACUAGGGUACGGGUGGUAACCUAUGAUCCUGUUUACCAACUUCACACAAACCCGACAAUGAUAAUCUGGUUUGGGUUUGAUACAACUAAAUUUGAGUUAUAGACGGGCG
rnacentral:lncRNA from 1 species